GACGUAGGGGACGAGCGUUGUCCGGAUUCAUUGGGCGUAAAGCGCGUGUAGGCGGUCUUGCAAGUCGGGUGUGAAAUCCCUUGGCUCAACUGAGGAAGUGCGCCCGAAACUGCAGAACUUGAGUACCGGAGAGGAUGGCGGAAUUCCCCAAGUAGAGGUGAAAUUCGUAGAUAUGGGGAGGAACACCGGUGGCGAAGGCGGCCAUCUGGACGGAUACUGACGCUGAGACGCGAAAGCAUGGGGAGCAAACAGG
rnacentral:rRNA from 1 species